rnacentral:lncRNA from 1 species
AUGUCACACAGGUUGGCUUGGAACUAUGUAACCCAGGCUGCCUUAGCCUCCAAGAUGUGUUUAAAUUACAGGCAUGAACCACCACAACCCUCCACCUCUGUUUUCUCUCAGAAUAAACACAUCCAGAAAAACAAGCAAAUGGAAACAGUGAAAUUUAUCACUGCAAUGGGUACAACGGACACACAACUCCAAAGAGAACUGGACAAAGCAAGGACACAGAGAAGAAGGUGCUUCAGGACUUCAAAAAUGCUUGGAAAGAAGGCCUUCUCAGAAGCCAUACUUAUGCUCCACCUAAGAGAAAUAGGCCUGCAUUGACUAAUACAGUUAUAAAAUGUCUGUAUGAAUCACGUGGGGUCUGCUUUUUUCUUUUUUCUUUCCUUCCCUUCCCUCUGCCUUGUUCCAUUUUAUGACCACUGGCAACUGAUCCUGGGACAGCAGGUUGAAAUGCCUUUCAAGUACUUUUGAUGGCCACCAUGAAAACAAACUGCUUUUGGGGCUUAUUGUAGACAUGGUGUCUGAGAAUUGUUAUAGUCAGUUCUUACCCAUGACUCCUGAAACUCCCUAACAUUGCACCAAGCACCCCAAUUCACAGCCUCACAUACCCACAAGAUUCCUUAGAGUAUCUUUAAGAUCCAGGAUCAUAUAAAACAGCUCCCACUCAUAAAACACACACAAACUUGCCAUUGUUGAGUGUUUUUUAAAUAGAAUCAGGAAUGAAUCUGUGACCUUGUGGCCCUGAGGUGGGAACACUAUCUAUAAACUGGCCCAGACACUCUGCCUGUCAGUAGGACAUUUUCAUUGAACAAAUGUAUAAAAAAAGAAAGAGCCAGGAUAAGCCAAAAUUUCUUACAUGCCACAGCUCCCUUUAUUCAUUUUAAACCUUGUUAACAUUUGCUAACAAGAAAGUUAAGAACUUUAAGCUAUAAAAAUUGGAAUGUCUUGCUAACUAAAUAAAUAUAUGUGUGAACCCCGGGUUCUGCUCCUU